rnacentral:rRNA from 1 species
UAUUGCACAAUGGGCGCAAGCCUGAUGCAGCCAUGCCGCGCGUAUGAAGAAGGCCUUCGGGUUGUAAAGUACUUUCAGCGGGGAGGAAGGCGGUGAGGUUAAUAACCUCGCCGAUUGACGUUACCCGCAGAAUAAGCACCGGCUAACUCCGUGCCAGCUGCCGCGGUAAUACGGAGGGUGCAAGCGUUAAUCGGAAUUACUGGGCGUAAAGCGCACGCAGGCGGUCUGUUAAGUCAGAUGUGAAAUCCCCGGGCUUAACCUGGGAACUGCAUUUGAAACUGGCAGGCUUGAGUCUCGUAGAGGGGGGUAGAAUUCCAGGUGUAGCGGUGAAAUGCGUAGAGAUCUGGAGGAAUACCGGUGGCGAAGGCGGCCCCCUGGACGAAGACUGACGCUCAGGUGCGAAAGCGUGGGGAGCAAACAGG